rnacentral:rRNA from 1 species
UACGUAGGGUGCAAGCGUUGUCCGGAAUUAUUGGGCGUAAAGAGCUCGUAGGCGGUUUGUCGCGUCGAAUGUGAAAACCCGGGGCUCAACCCCGGGCCUGCAUUCGAUACGGGCAGACUAGAGUUCGGUAGGGGAGACUGGAAUUCCUGGUGUAGCGGUGAAAUGCGCAGAUAUCAGGAGGAACACCGGUGGCGAAGGCGGCUCUCUGGGGACGGUACUGACGCUGAGACGCGAAAGCGUGGGGAGCGAACAGG